AGGCGCACACAAGCCAAGUUCUACUCAACAUCGUUCCCUAAUCAUGGUAGUAAGCACACUCUGCAGCCGCUUGCCACUUCUACCCAACAUCAUCGUCCUCCUCUUGUUCACAACCAUUUCCGACUCCACGAACAGCAACAGCGAUCUCAAUGCACUCUUGUCAUUCAAAUCCCUCAUAACAAAGGACCCAAUGGGUGCACUGUCAUCUUGGGAUGGGGACGCUUCUAACAGGAGCGCUCCUCAUUUCUGCCGGUGGAACGGCGUGACGUGCAGCAGCGACCAGCACGGCAGCCAUGUCACUGCCUUGCGCCUGCGAGCCUUCGGUCUGGAAGGCAACAUCUCCCAGUCGCUUGGGAAUCUUAGCCACCUCCAAACCCUGGAUCUGUCGAACAACAACCUAGAGGGCGAGAUACCUUCCAGUAUCGGUAACUUGUUUGCUCUCCAUUUUCUCAACCUAAGUGUUAACCACCUGUCCGGGAACGUUCCUCAGUCCAUCGGCCGUCUUUCCGAACUCGAAAUUCUGAAUUUCCGCGACAAUGACAUCGUAGGAAGCAUCCCUUCUUCAGUGCUGAACCUUACAGGACUCACAAUGCUUAGUGCCACCGAAAACUACAUGACAGGGAGGAUUCCAGAUUGGUUGGGGAACUUGACAGAUCUGACAGAUUUGAACUUGGCAUGGAAUAACUUCAGUGGACAGAUCCCACAAGCUUUAGGUAAGCUACCUAACCUUGCUAGAUUGACUAUGCAAGGUAAUCAAUUGGAAGGUUUAAUCUCUCCUACACUGUUUAACAUUUCAUCUCUUGAGAAUUUAAAUCUCGGCUAUAACAAGCUUUCAGGUUCUCUACCUCCAGAUAUUGGAUUUACACUUCCAAAUAUUGUAGCAUUUAGUGUAUGCUAUAACAAAUUUGAGGGUCCAGUUCCAUCCUCCCUGUCCAAUAUUUCUGUGCUCCAACAGCUCAUCCUCCACGGGAACAGAUUUCAUGGCCGAAUUCCACCUAAUAUUGGUGUCCACGGCAGCUUAACUAAUCUUGAAUUAGGCAACAAUCAGCUUCAAGUCGUGGAUACUAAAGAUUGGGAUUUUCUAACCCCUUUGGUCAAUUGCAGUCAUCUGAAAUAUCUUAAUCUUGAGCUAAAUAACAUUUCUGGCAUUUUGCCAAAUGCUGUUUCUAAUCUCUCCUAUGAGCUGGAAGCGUUACUGAUGGGUGGAAACCAAAUAACCGGGACCGUACCUUCGGGGAUAGGUAGGCUUCAAAAGCUCCAAAUACUAGAUCUGUCAGAUAACCUGUUUACAGGCGCCGUACCUUCGAGUAUAGGUAAACUCUCCAGCCUAGACAGCCUUGUGCUAUUCAGUAAUAAAUUUGACGGGGAGAUCCCUUCAUCACUUGGAAAUCUUACAAAACUAACCGAGCUAGUUUUACAUUCCAAUGACCUGCAUGGGAGCAUGCCUCCAAGCCUUGCGGACCCAUUUCCCAACAGAUCAGGCUCUUGAUCAGUCUUGGUACAAUGGAUCUCUCAAGCAAUAAUUUAUCUGGUUUGAUGCACUUCCCUGAUGUAAUUCAACAAUUUGAGAGGACAUGUCGAAAUGCUUCGGAGUCAAUCAGAUCUGCUGCAACUGGAAAGCUUCGUGUGGUGGAAGAGAAACUUAUGCAGCAAAAUGCUCAACUUUUACUGGACGAAGCUGCUUCCUGGUCACUUUGGCACAUAUAUGGCAAAGAACAUGAGGAGCUUUCUGGAGAGCUGUUGGUGCCGCCAAUUACAUCUCAUCAGGAGGCUUGCCGCUUUGUUGCAGCAGACAUUACAGCACAACUGUGUCUGCGGAUCAUACUUUGGCUUGAAGGUCUUGCUUCUGAAGCUCUUGAUUUGGAGAAGAAGGUGAGAGGACCUCAUGUUGGUUCGUACCUACCAAGUUCUGGUGUUUGGCACCGUACACAGAGGUACCUAAAAAGGAACAAUGCUGAUUCUACUAUAGUGAAGCAUGUGGAUUUUGAUGCUCCAACUCGUGAAGGGGCCCAACUUCUUCCUGAUGACAAGAAGCAAGAUGAAUUGCUUCUAGAAGAUAUAUGGACUCUUUUAAGAGCAGGAAGAUUAGAAGAGGCAUCUGACUUGUGCCGUUCUGCUGGCCAGGCAUGGAGAGUUGCCACUCUUUGUCCUUUUGGCGGCAUAAAUAUGUUCCCUUCCCUGAAUGCAUUGCACAAAAAUGGAAAGUACAGAACACUACAAGCCAUGGAAUUAGAAAGUGGUGUUGGGCGGCAGUGGCGUCUUUGGAAAUGGGCAUCAUAUUGUGCUUCAGAGAAAAUCGCUGAGCAAGAUGGAGGCCGUUAUGAGAUGGCUGUAUAUGCUUUACAAUGCAGUAACUUAAAGCGUGUCUUGCCAAUCUGUACUGACUGGGAGUCAGCUUGUUGGGCAAUGGCAAGAUCCUGGCUAGAUGUUCAAGUGGAUCUAGAAUUAUCUCAGUACCAAACAAGUAGACCAGAAAAGCAACUUGAUGACGACAUGAAUGGAGCCCAAAGUUCAGUUGGUCCAGAAAGUUGGCCAUACCAUGUUCUUGAUCAGCAACCUCAUGAUUUAACUGCUCUUCUGCAGAAACUCCACUCAAGUGACCUUGUUCAUGAAACUGUCUCUCGAGCAUGCCGAGAGCAGCAUCGACAAAUUCAGAUGAAUCUCAUGAGUGGAAAUAUAUCUCAUCUUCUUGACCUUCUAUGGUCAUGGUUAUCACCUGCUGAAGAGAACCAUAAUAAUACUGCAAGGCCCCUUGAUGACCCUGAGAUGAUACGGUUCGGGGCGCAUAUUGUUCUUGUGCUGAGGCACCUUUUCAGUGAUGGGAUGGAUGAUGAGUUAGAUGAAAAACUGGUUACUGUCGGUGAUCUCAUCAUCAACAUGUACGUGAGGUAUUUGUUCUCAGAGGAUCAAGAGGAGUUGGUUGGAAUAUAUGCCUCACAGCUUCAACAUGACCUUUGCAUUACUUUGUUUGUAGAAAUGAUGGAACUAAGGUUAAAUAGCAGUUUGCAUACUAUGUACAAGCUCUUCCUUUCUGCUGUGGAGUAUCUGCCAUUCUCAUCUGAUAAUGUAUCCAAGGCUUGUUUUGAAGAGAUCAUCGAGAGGGUGCUUUCAAGAUCUCGGCAAACAAAACCCACUAAGUAUGAUGGGGAUUUCUCUGAUGUUGCGCAUCAACAUCACCUGCAAUCACUUCAAAAGGCUAUGGUUAUUCAGUGGCUUUGCUUCACACCACCAUCCUCGAUUCCAGACUUUCAAAUGAUCAGUUGGAAGCUUCUGAUACGGGCAUUGACACAUAGCAAUACACUGUUCAGGGAGUUUUCUCUGAUAUCAAUGAGGAGAGUCCCUGAGCUACCAGCAGGGCCACACAAGUUGCUUGCCAUUUUAGCUGAACCGUUAAAGCAAAAAGAAAAUUUAAUUUCACGGGAAGAUCCGGAGGUAUCUGAUAACUUGCCGGAGUUUGAAGAUUGGCAUGAAUAUUACUCCCUUGACGCGACUUACCGCAGUUGGCUUAAAAUUGAGAUGAUGAAUGCCGCUGUUUCUCCUGAGAUGCUUUCGGCAGAGGAAAAGGGUCAAGCUGUUGCUGCAGCUAAAGAAACACUGAACUUGGCAUGUUCGUUACUACGCAGGGAUGGAAGACCAUGGCUGUAUGCUGUCGAGAGCAGUCCAUUUGAAUCCCCCGAUGUUAUUUUCCUUGAGCUGCAUGCUUCUGCAAUGCUCUGCCUACCUUCUGGAGAAUGUAUGUUACCAGAUGCAACAUCAUGCACAGCUUUGACAAGUGCACUAUAUUCAACUGUCAGUGAAGAUGAUGUGCUGCAUCGCCUGUUGAAGGUGGAUGUCCAGGUCUCUUCUAGAGACCCCUGCUGUAUUGAAGUUGCUCUUCGCUGCUUAGCAGCAGAAGGUGAUGGAUAUGGGCUUCAUGAAGCCAACGAUGGAGGUCUUCUUGCUGCAGUCAUGGCUGCUGGCUUUAAAGGUGAACUCAGUCGGUUCCAACCUGGAGUUUCGAUGGCAAUUUCACGGCUUGAUGCUUGGUAUUCUGACCGGAGUGGUUCCGUGGAGAGCACCGCUGCUUACAUAAUUCGAGGGCUGUGUCGGAGGUGCUGCCUUCCUGAAACAAUUCUAAGAUCUAUGCAGGCAUGUAUCGCACUCUCCGCGGCUGGUGAUGAUCUAGAUUACUCUCUAGAUAAAUGUGACGAACUUGUUGAGUUAGUUGGUUCAGCCGAGUCUGGAAUGAUGCAUUUGUUCAGCCAGCAGCAGUUGCAGGAGUUCCUGAUUUUCGAGAGGGAAUAUCUCAUAUGUACAAUGGAGUUUGAGGAGGACCGGUUGCCUUGUGAUGGCUAAGCUUUUUCCCCACUUGCUGACUAAUCCAUGAGACAUGACCGGCAUGUGCAUUUUGUGGCGCCGUGACCCAAGAACCUGCUGUGAUGUAUCGCUACACCAUUUCAAAGCGAAAAGAUGGAAUUUAGUGCGUAACGUGGUUCUGCCCGUUUGUGCACGAGAAUUGGCCCGUUUUGGAGAGUCAAUAUAAGAUUAUUCAAGUCGAAAUCCAAGAUUUUUGUUCAUGAUAAAAACAAUGUUCGGCAA